rnacentral:tRNA from 2 species
GGAGGGUUGGGAGAGUGGUUGAAUCCACUACCUUGGAAAGGUAGCAAACGAGAAAUCGUUUCACGAGUUCGAAUCUCGUACCCUCCGCCA